UGAGAUGAGACUGCCUUGUGAAUUGCUGUUUCCAAAGUCAAUAAUAAACUGUCAACGUAAAACUCUCCUCUGUUGUAACGCUAACAUAGUUACAUCAGGCUGGACAAGAGGCACACCUUUAACGUUAUGUCCAUUGCAAUGUCGUCAACUUUCAGCCAUAACAUUAACGUUACAGUACAUUUACAGUAACGUUACGUUACAGGCAGCAGGUUUGCAGCGUUACUGCAAAAACAUUGAGCAAGCAGUGAGCUGCAGUGAUGACCCAGCGAGGGGAGAUGAUGGCACCUCCACAUACGUGUUUCCCUCUCCAGUGCAUGCUGACCUGCCAGCCCCACUUGUCAUUGGCCGCCAACGUACCCCCAACAAUACGCCGGCCAUCACUGACCAGAACUGUGCAGUCUGGGUGUGAGAAGAUGAAUAAGAAGGGAUGUAUGCUAAGUGAAAAGAGCCAAAGACAGAAGAUACAGACACAUGCAAUAACACUUCAUGAGUGAUGUUCCCUGUCUGGUUCACUGGACUCGUAGACAGAAAAGGCAGCUGAGUUGGGACACUGCAGUUCCCCUUCACACCACAGAGAGGAGGUGAUUCACCAGAGGGGAAUACCAGGAACUUGACUAAUUUCAAGAGAGAAGA